UAGCUGUUUAGGAGCUUGUCGG
rnacentral:piRNA from 1 species